rnacentral:rRNA from 1 species
UACAGAGGGUGCGAGCGUUGUCCGGAAUCACUGGGCGUAAAGAGCGUGUAGGCGGCCAGGUAGGUCCGUUGUGAAAACUCGAGGCUCAACCUCGAGACGUCGAUGGAAACCAUCUGGCUAGAGUCCGGAAGAGGAGAGUGGAAUUCCUGGUGUAGCGGUGAAAUGCGCAGAUAUCAGGAAGAACACCUAUGGCGAAGGCAGCUCUCUGGGACGGUACUGACGCUGAGACGCGAAAGCGUGGGGAGCGAACAGG